GGGGUUGAUGAUGGGGUGUGGGAUUAAUGACGGGGUGUGGGGUUGAUGACGGAGUGUGGCGUUGAUGAUGAGGCGUGGGGUUUAUGACAGAGUGCGGGGUCGAUGAUGGGGUGUGGGGUUGAUGACGGGGCAUGGGGUUUAUGACAGCUUGUGUCAGACGAAGCCACAUCAACUCAUUCUGAGCACCCCUUUCCUCAAAACAUAAGGAUGAGCAUGACCAAAAUCUCAAGACAUUUUUCCUAAGUCCUUAAGAUGGAUGAACUUCUACAGGUAAGUAGGUAGAUUAAUAAACAGAGGUAAGGAAUGUUGGCAUGAAGAAGCUCCCUAGGCCACUGUGUGGCUGAAGCUCUGACUGGUCAUGCUGGUUAAGGAUGCAUCUGAGCAAGAUCGGUCGCUGACAGGUAGGUGUGUAGAAAAUAACCUAUAUGUGGUGGUCCAUUUUCAAUUCUAAGUGCCUUCAUAUAGGUUUAAGCAGGCUAUGUGGAAAUAGAGAAAUAAAGAAGCAGAAAUGUACUGAGUCACCACCCUGCCCUCCUUCCUGCUUUCCUUUUCACCCAGCGGCCAGGUGCCUAUCAGUAGGAGCCCCCUCAACUACCCUCUCCUCACCCCAUCAAAGAAUUUAGUUUAGGCUAGCUUGCAACAUAAAUAAUUAUACCUUUUCUUAUCAGCUACGUGCAGCCACCAGGGCCAUAGUCAAAUGUCUGAAGAGUCCUGAGACAGUUGCAAUGCAUGGUGGGCUGCAAUAAAAUGCAGCAGAAAGAUCCUAAAGAGCAUACUUGAAAUCUUAAUCCAAUGACCAAUAGGUGAUGUCCAGGAAGAUUGUAACCCCAUUUACUCAACCAAUGAGGAACUGGGGGAGGGACCUGCACACUAGGGGAUAAAUUGCUUGUUGAAACUCUGCUGGAGGUGGCUGCAUGCCAGCCAGACACCCAAUCUUGCAAGACUGUCAUUGAAAAUCUCUGUUUUGCUGUUCUCCGUGUCUCUGCAUCCAGCCUUUGGGUUUGGACGGGUGAGUUUGCUUCUCACAGGUGCGACUCUGUCUCUAUUUGCAUCAGGUUCAGUUUCUUCCUGGUUGACCUUGUGGGUGUGAAUGUUGUCACAGACCUGCCAGGCCAUCUUUCUGCAAGAAGAUAAAGGAAGACCAGGAGUGCCUGCCGAACUCCUACGGAGGAAGUCUAGGAGAGGAAGGGGACAGGGAGGAAGAUGGUGUCUGCAAACCAGGAAGCAGCCUUGCCAGACACAGGAUUGGCCACAACCUAGACCCCAGACUUCCAGCCUCCAGAACUGAAUUUCCCUGCACAGGCUCUCUUGCCUGCCACCAUGUAAGACCUGCCUUGGCUCCUCCUUCACCUUCCGCCAUGAUUGUGAGGCCACCCCAGCCAUGUGGAACUCUCCCACUGCACUGAGAAGCACGUGUUCUCCAUUUCCCUGGGGGAGACCAUUGUAUUGGGCAGUUUGGAACAAAACACCAUGGACUGGGAGGCUUACACAACAGAAAUUUAUUUCUUGCUGUUCUAGAGGCUGGGAAGCUCAAGGUGCUGGCUGCAUAUUCAUUCUGAGGCCUCUUCUGAUGUGCAGGCAGCUGCCUUCUGACUUGUGCUCACAUUGGAGAGAGGGAGUCAGCUUUGGUGUCUCUUCUUCUGACAGAGCAAGGGAAUGUGUGUGAAUGCUAAUCCAUGCACAUACGUGUCUAUAAAUAUUCUGCAUGGAACCAUCUGUGUCUAUGUCAAGCUAAACUGGAGUUCAUACCAGGGUCUCCAACCAUAGCCCAUCCCCACUGGGGUCCUUCCAGCUCACUCGGCUUCUGGAUGUACGACUCCCACAGGUGGAGGAAGGCCCCCAGAGAAGUCUGCUGAAAAUUGUUAUUCAUGAAUGGAGGUUGGACUUCUUCAGAUACGCUUCCCGAGUCUGUUAACAUGGUGAUGUGACGUUUGCCCUUCAUGUUACUCAUAGGGACUAUUCUGUUAGCUACCAAUUCUGCUGCUUUAAAUAAAAACACCAUUAAAAAACAAAAAGAAAAGAAACAAAUUGUAAUAAAAAUAUUUGCAUACAUAUACAAUCUGAAAGACGUAUCAAAAAAUAAACGUCCUUCGUUUACAAAUCAAAUAUACCUUUUUAAAAAAACAGACAAGACAGACAUUAGACAAAAGGUGAUACAAGAAUGACCAAUAAGCAAAUUGAAAGCGCUCAGUAUCCUCGGCCAUCAGGAAAUGCACAUUCAUCAUAAUGGGAUGCUGCAUGACGCACGUUGAAAUAACUGGAUGUGAAGAUCCUGGCCCCGCCCUGUGCCGGGAGGGUCUGGAACAUCUGGAAUAUUCACGUCGCCGGUGGGGAGGAGGUGCACAGGCACUUUGACCAUAGCGUGGCAGGUCCCCCACAACUAUAUGUACACCUGCCCUGUGCCCAGCAAAAUGUAAAUGUCUUCCACAAAUAGUCCUGGACAGGGUCUCUCAAAGGGGCUUUAACUGUAACAGCCCACACCUGGAAUUGUCCACAGUCCUGGGCGGGAUCACUCACAGGAACAGCCCACACCUGGAAUUGUCCAUCGUCCUGGGCGAGGUCACUCACAGUAACAGCCCACACCUGGAAUCGUCCACAGUCCUGGGCGGGAUCACUCACAGGAACAGCCCACACCUGGAAUUGUCCAUCGUCCUGGGCGAGGUCACUCACAGUAACAGCCCACACCUGGAAUCGUCCACAGUCCUGGGCGGGAUCACUCACAGGAACAGCCCACACCUGGAAUUGUCCAUCGUCCUGGGCGGGGUCGCUCACAGUAACAGCCCACACCUGGAAUUGUCCAGCGUUCCUCAGCAGGAAACAGUUAAAGAAAGUGUCUAACCACACAUGGAAGGCCACUGGGCAAUGAAAAUGCAUGAACUUCUGGCGUCCACAAUCUAGUGGAUGAAUCUCAAAAGAUACUUCGAGCAAAAACACCGGACAGAAGCGUCCGUGCCGGCCCCGCAGGCUGCCUGUGUGCCAGGCUAUCCCGUGCCAUCUGAUCCGGGAGAAGCAGGACUUUCUCGCACAGGUACUCAGCGCUGUGGCUGUGGGAGGAGCCGGGAGGGCCCUGGCGUGGGUGAGCUUGGGGAAACUGUAGGAGCUGGAAAUAUUUCAUAUCUUAUUUAUUUGGGGUGUUGUUUACAGGGGAACUUGACAAACUCAUCUAAUGGUACAAUCGAGACAUCUGUGUAAAUAAAGUGUCAAAAAUCAUCCUGCUGACAUCCAUGCUCCCCGCCCCACGGCGCUUCCCGGCCCUCAGCCCUCCUGUGCGGCUCCUGCCCCCUGGCCAGGGCAUCUCCCAGACCAGUGCUAGGCAGCAGGCACUGUCCUAACCCCAGAGCCUGUGGGCCUGGGGCAUCAGUGAGGAGGAGGCUGAGGAGGAGGCUGAGGACUGAUGGUUUGCAGGUUGCUCCGGGAGACCAGAAACCUGGUGAGGAGAGGCAUUAGGAGGUGAGGUAGGAGGCGUUACGAAGGCCCACGAAAGCUGCCUGUUUGGUUGGUUUUAGUGGGGAGAUAGUUUUCCAGUACAGAAUUUCUACCAGAAUGCCCCAUACAUAAAAUAUAACCAUGACAUGAGAUGCUUUGGGGCAGCCUUGGGGUGGAUGGGACCUGUGUCCCCCUCUGCAGUCCUCACAGGCACCCCCCUUGUGGGUCUCAGGCUGAGAUGCACCGAGCCAGCUGGAAAAUGCCGGGUCAGGGGGCUGCUCAGGGGCGGCUUCUCUUUAGGUAAAGUCAGUGAAUCCUGAUGGCCAAGUGCGAGGCAUCGGGGAGAUCGCAGAAAGGGUCGAGGGACUCAGGCCCAAGCCCGGGGUGACAAAAUCUUAUAAGUGGAAUCAUAGAGUAUGUAAGAUGGCGUGUGUGUGUGUGUGAGAGAGAGAGAGAGAGACAGAGAGGAGAGUGGGGGUCUUGGUAACCUUUAGGUCACAUUUGGCAGUUUAAACAUAAACCUGCUUCCAAAUUAACUGGCUUUGGAGACGUCUGUGACUCAUGGGCACACCCUGCCCCUGAGUGGAGAAUCUCACCGUCAGCUUCUCCGGCUGUUGAUGUGCUGAUCGGCACCCACUGACACUGAAAGGAUGCUGAUUUGUUUCUGAACCGUGAAAUGUUGAUCUGAUUCUGUGUCAUGACAUUCUGCUGACUUGCUUCUGAAUCACGAAGUUUUGCUGGUUUGUUUCGGAAUCAUGAAGCUUUCUGAUUGCCUUGUUAUAGCCCUCACGGUAUGAUCAGUGUGCACUGGCUGUGCCCUCCAACCUGUCCCCCCAUGAGAAGGAUGCCUCUGUUGUGAGGAGUCCUCUCCCUUCUCCUAAACUUUUCCGGAAAGUCUUCCACCUAGUAGCCGACCCCAGAACAUGCUCAGUUCUGUGGGCGUCUUCCCAAGUGGAUCCCCGUGUUCAGCUUCCAAUAAAACUUUAUCCAGUUACUUCUGCCUGCACAGCCUUAGUUUCCAUCAGAAGUCUACACGUGUGUAUGUGUAUAGACACACACACACACACACGUGCGCACGUGCACACACAUGCACGUUUUGUGUCUGGCUAUUUUCACUUACAAUUUUUUUUUUUGUCAGCCUAACAGGUGAAUCUGAUUUUGAUUCUUUAGAUGCUGCCUAAGGAAGUUGAAGAAAAAAAUUCCUUUUUUUGUAGUAGCUGGAUCUGUAUCCAAAAUUUAACGUAUUGUAGCUCUCCUGCUGUGCCAGGCUCAGUUUGUUUUAAAGAUUUCCCGGAGGGGACGACUCAGAAAGAGGCUCUGAGGGUGUGGCAGCCUCUGCACACUUUGGGUGCCACCAGCUGACGUGUGACUGUGACUUCACGGGCGGUGCCCCGGCCUCACGUGCCUCGUGGUUCUCUGUCUCUCUCCUGCUCACGGGCAGUGCCCCGGCCUCACGUGCCCCGUGGUUCUCUGUCUCUCUCCUGCUCACGGGCGAUGCCCUGGCCUCACGUGCCUCGUGGUUCUCUGUCUCGCUCCUGCUCACGGGCGGUGCCCCGGCCCCACAUGCCUCAUGGUUCUCUGUCUCUCUCCUGCUCAUGGGCAGUGCCCCAGCCUCACGUGCCCCGUGGUUCUCUGUCUCUCUCCUGCUCACGGGCGGUGCCCUGGCCUCACGUGGCCCGUGGUGCUCUGUCUCGCUCCUGCUCACCUGCGGGGCUUUCGUCUCUGCCCAGGGAUGAAACCAUCAUGUGGCUUAAUUGAUAUUUUGUGAAAGCUGCAAAUUAUGUGUGCAGUCCUGUCAAUAAUUCCUAUUUGCUGACUUUCUCUUUUCUCCAGUAUUCUACAACCAUAUGUACAGUCAAAGCUGUCCACCUUUUACAUUCAUGAUUGAUGCUCCAUAAAUAUGCUGGCUAGAUAAAGCCGCAGCUGUUAGGCAAAGGAAAGAAAGACACAUUUAUCUGAGACCCGAGGCAGCUGUCAAGCAGUGGGAAUGGCCCUGAAGGCCAUAAAGAACCCAGAAUGACCGACCGGGAUCCGGGUGGACAGGAGCGGGGGGGUGGACUCUGACCCCAGCCACGCCCACACCUCCUAUCCUUGCACUGUUCCGGGGAUGAAGUGGAUUUUGGGAGCUGGGCACGGGGCACAAACUCUCUCUAACAGCUGUGGUGGAACCAGGGCUCACUGCAAAACCCCUUUCCUGUUGGGAUGCCUCAUGGGCUGGACCCCGUGAGGGCUCUUCAGAAAGGUGAGAACACGCAGUAAGACCUUUCUCCAAAGAUACUGAAGAUGACAGCAACCCACGGUUAGCACAAUUUUAUAAAGACUGAAAACUUGCUGAGCCUGUGCAGUUAAUAAGUGGAGACACAAGGCAAAAUCCAAUGAUAAGCAAGUGAAGAUCCAUCGUUAUGCGAUGAACAGUAUUUCCAUGAAGUUCUGCUUAGUGAGAAUAGAGAUCACAUGCUCCCUUCCAUUUUUCAAACAUUAUUUCUUGUUCUUGCGGUCUGGAAGAAAAUGACUGAAAGAUUACUUUGUUUCUCUUUGAUUCACUUUAAAAGAUGUGGGAAAGGGAACGCGAGCUGCCCAGCUGCCCGGGAGACCAGGUUACCUUCCUUUACCCCGGAAGGCAGCCUGCCCUGCUACAGCGUUGCCUCAUGCUCCGAUCACCACACACAUCAAUGGCCGGAGGAGAGGGUCAGGAUAACUCGGGACGGACUCCUCCCAGGAGCUCCCUGGGCAAAGGCGAUCCCAUCGGGGAAGCGGGAUUCCCUCCUCCAGUAGGGAAGAAGCGCCCUCAGCAAGGAGACUGCCGAGGCGUGGGGACGCUCUGCUCUGCGUUUGUGGAAACCAGGCACUCGCCUGGCACAGGGUCUCACACCCCAGUCUCGGUGCAGCCUUGUGUGGGUCUGGUGCUUGGGAGGGCGCGUUCCCCACGUGCCUACUGAGGAGCCGCUCCCUGGCUCAGGGCUCCUCCUCCACCCAACACCAGCAUCUCCACACGGUUGGGUGCAGUUUUAAAAGCCGCUUUCUCAAGAUAUUCUUCACAUAUCAUGACAUGUGCACAGGCAGAGUGCCAAUCAAGUCCUUUCAGAGUACUCGGAGAUCCAGUCGAUGGCGUUGGGCGUACUCGGAGAUCCAGUCGGUGGCGUUGGGUGUACUCGGAGAUCCAGUCGGUGGCGUUGGGUGUACUCGGAGAUCCAGUCGCUGCGUUGGGUGUACUCGGAGAUCCAGUCGCUGCGUUGGGUGUACUUGGAGAUCCAGUCGGUGGUGUUGGGCGUACUCGGAGAUCCAGUCGGUGGCGUUGGGUGUACUCGGAGAUCCAGUCGGUGGCGUUGGGUGUACUCGGAGAUCCAAUCGGUGGUGUUGGGUGUACUCAGAAAUCCAGUUGAUGGCAUUCAUUGUACUCGGAGAUCCAGUCGAUGGCGUUGCGUGUACUCGGAGAUCCAGUCGGUGGCGUUGGGUGUACUCGGAGAUCCAGUCGGUGGCGUUGGGUGUACUCGGAGAUCCAGUCGGUGGCGUUGGGUGUACUCAGAGAUCCAGUUGAUGGCAUUCAGCGUACUCGGAGAUCCAGUGGAUGGCAUUGGGUGUACUCGGAGAUCCAGUCGGUGGCGUUGGGUGUACUCGGAGAUCCAGUCGGUGGCGUUGGGUGUACUCAGAGAUCCAGUCGGUGGCGUUGGGUGUACUCGGAGAUCCGGAUUGAUGCUGAAUAUACGGGGUCAGGAAGAUGCAGUUCCUGACCGCUGGGUGUGGUCCCCGGAACAGCCAGGCUGCGCUGGGUGCUGAGGCCACUGCUGUCAGUGAGGAGAGACCUGCUUUUGCAGGUGGAUCAGAGAGUUCUGAACUCCUCUGUCAUUUCAUUAGGAAACAGGUUUUCAGGCCCUGGGCUGCAGCUCCUGGUGCUGAGAACUUUCCAGAAGGUUGGUGGCUCCUGUUCUACGCCUUGUCAGGGAAGAUGUGGGUUCGCCCCAGGUGCUCCAGAAAGGUCGUGUUCUCUAGGGAGUGAAGACGGGUGGGCAUAAGCGUGGGUCCGGGGCCACCCUCUGUCGUCUGCCAGCGUGUUUCUCAUCCAGCCACGUCUCGGAAGGUCUGUGACUGCUGAAAACAUUGUGUGCAUGAACGUUGGGGAAGGAAACCCACCCAGAGGAGGGGCACGCGCCACCCCAGGCGUCAGAGCACCAAGCUGCAGAGAACAGAGGCAGCAGGUGCCCGGGACACACGGGGGAGACCGCAGGAGCAGCCUGUGUCCUCUGUGGCUCAGUCCCACGAGAAACUGGAGGCCAGCGCUUCACAGCUCCCAUUUGCAGAGACCAGCUCCCGUGAAUGAAGCAAACAACCUGAUGUUUGCAUUUGCAAGAGGAACUGUGAUUGUACCAGGGACGGGGUCUUCAGGUUGUGCAUGAGAGUCUGGGGUCCACGCAUGGAGAGGGAGUGGUGUCAGAGGGUCAGAGCCCAUGGGCGGUUCUGGGACAUGGAAGCUGGUGUCGAGUCAGUUGGGGACGUGGCCUCCCCGGCACAGCCAGGGUGAGUGUCCUCUCUCUCUAAGGCGAGGCAGGAGGGGCCUCUUGUUUCUCAGCCCCCGCAGCUCUGGCCACCCCAGGCUUAUGGCACACGGUAAUGGAUAUUUCUGAAUGUCUCUUUGGCCAAAUGAGUCUGGAAAAUGAUGUGCUAAGGUGCUCUUGGGAUUGUUUUCAUGGAUCCCAGGUUCGUCAUGUGUAUAAUGUGGCAAUCUGCACCGUAAACCCCGAGCUGCGCAGCCUGGCGUGGCGUGCGUCCGUAACGCAUUUAACCACCAUUUAUUGUUGUUAUUAUCAUUUUUAUUAUUGUCAUUAUUUGGGUAAUAGUAAAGAAGUGUGCUUUAUGUGGCUUUUUGUCAUUUUUUAAGCCAAGUUGGCAGUUUUUUGUUUUAUGCAUGUUUCUCUUAUUUUUAAUUUCUUGAAAUGUUCCUCCCUGGGUCCUCGAGGCAGAUGAUAAAAUAAAUGUUAUGCGUUUUUCACAUUUCCAAAGAAAGAGUAGGGAAGUCCUGGAAAGAUGUGCUAAAUGUAGGAGCCAAGGAUUUCAGAAAAAGCAAUUUCUCUUUUUGCAGAAAGAAAUCAGGCAUUUCAAGUGAGUUACUAUU